CUAGCAGUAUCCAGAGUACCAGCGGACACGUGAAACCCGCUGGGAAGAUGGGGGGACCAUCCUCCAAGCCUAAAUACUACUCAGUGACCGAUAGUGGAGCAGUACCGUGAGGGAAAGGUGAAAAGUACCCCGGGAGGGGAGUGAAAAAGAACCUGAAACCUUGUGCCUACAAGCACCGAGAGUCCGUUAAAGGAUGAUCGGGUACUUUUUGUAGAACGGUCCGGCGAGUUAAUAUUUGCAGCGAGGUUAAGGAACUGGAGUUCCGGAGCCGCAGCGAGAGCGAGUCUGAAUAGGGCGUAUGAAGUUGCAGGUAUUAGACCCGAAACCGGGUGACCUAUCCAUGAGCAGGCUGAAGCGGUGGUAAGACACCGUGGAGGGCCGCACCCACGUCUGUUGAAAAAGCCGGGGAUGACUUGUGGAUAGCGGAGAAAUUCCAAUCGAACUCGGAGAUAGCUGGUUCUCCCCGAAAUAGCUUUAGGGCUAGCGUUAUUUUAGAUUACCGGAGGUAAAGCACUGAAUGGUCUAGGGGCCGCGAGGUUACCAAAGCCUAUCAAACUCUGAAUGCCGGAUAAUUGAUGAAUAGCAGUCAGACUGUGUGAGAUAAGUCUCAUAGUCAAAAGGGAAACAGCCCAGAUCUACAGCUAAGGUCCCAAAUGAACACUAAGUGGAAAAUGAUGUGAAACUGCGAAGACAACCAGGAUGUUGGCUUAGAAGCAGCCACUCAUUCAAAGAGUGCGUAAUAGCUCACUGGUCGAGUGGUUUUGCGCAGAAAAUGUAACGGGGCUAAGUGUUCAACCGAAGCUUAGGCAUUGCAGUAAUGCAUUGGGUAGGGGAGCGUCGUAUGCGGGGCGAAGUCAGAGCGGAAGCACUGGUGGACUGCAUACGAGUGAGAAUGCCGGAAUAAGUAGCGAGAAUUAUGUGAGAAUCAUAAUGGCCGAAAAUCUAAGGUUUCUUGGGGAAGGUUCGUCCGCCCAAGGUUAGUCGGGAGCUAAGCUCAGGCCGAAAGGCGUAGGCGAUGCACAUACGGUAGAAAUUCCGUAACCACCGAACAUUUAAGCUAGAGGGACGCUUUCAUUAAGUCUAUCCCGGGCGAUGGUUGCCCCGGGCGUAAGGGACCGAAAUUUAGUAGGGAAGUAGACGGCGUGAGAGACGAGAAAAGCUCUAGUGUAUACUAAGGUGCCCGUACCGCAAACCGACACAGGUAGAUGGGAUGAGUAUUCUAAGGCCAACGGGAGAAGGGUUGUUAAGGAACUCGGCAAAUUGGCCCCGUAACUUCGGGAUAAGGGGCGCCUGCGAGAGCAGGCCGCAGUGAAAAGGCCCAAGCGACUGUUUAGCAAAAACACAGCUCUCUGCUAAAUCGAAAGAUGACGUAUAGGGGGUGACGCCUGCCCGGUGCUGGAAGGUUAAGGGGAGUGCUUAGCGCAAGCGAAGGUGCGAACUUAAGCCCCAGUAAACGGCGGCCGUAACUAUAACGGUCCUAAGGUAGCGAAAUUCCUUGUCAGGUAAGUUCUGACCCGCACGAAUGGCGUAACGAUUUG
rnacentral:rRNA from 1 species